rnacentral:rRNA from 1 species
UACGUAGGGUGCGAGCGUUGUCCGGAAUUAUUGGGCGUAAAGAGCUUGUAGGCGGUCUGUCGCGUCUGCUGUGAAAAUCCGGGGCUCAACCCCGGACUUGCAGUGGGUACGGGCAGACUAGAGUGUGGUAGGGGAGACUGGAAUUCCUGGUGUAGCGGUGAAAUGCGCAGAUAUCAGGAGGAACACCGAUGGCGAAGGCAGGUCUUUGGGCCACUACUGACGCUGAGAAGCGAAAGCAUGGGGAGCGAACAGG